UCUCCCGUCGUUCAACGGCAGGACAGCGGACUGUUAAUCCGCCGAUGGUGGUUCGAAUCCACCCGGGAGAG
rnacentral:tRNA from 1 species